rnacentral:rRNA from 1 species
UACAGAGGGUGCAAGCGUUGUUCGGAAUUACUGGGCGUAAAGGGCGCGUAGGCGGGAUGGCAAGUCGGUCGUGAAAUCCCUCGGCUCAACUGAGGAUCGUCGAUCGAUACUGCCGUUCUUGAGGAUUGCAGAGGAGACUGGAAUUCCCGGUGUAGCGGUGAAAUGUGUAGAGAUCGGGGGGAACACCGGUGGCGAAGGCGGGUCUCUGGGCAAUUCCUGACGCUGAGGCGCGAAAGCGUGGGGAGCAAACGGG